GUUUAAACCUGAAUAGAGCUACC
rnacentral:piRNA from 1 species